UACGAAGGGGGCUAGGCGUUGUUCGGAAUUACUGGGCGUAAAGCGCGCGUAGGCGGUUUUGCAAGCCAGAGGUGAAAUGCCUGAGCUCAACUCAGGAAUGGCCUUUGGGACUGCGAGGCUUUGAGGACUGGAGAGGUGAGUGGAAUUCCCAGUGUAGAGGUGAAAUUCGUAGAUAUUGGGAAGAACACCGGUGGCGAAGGCGGUUCUCUGGGCCUGACCUGACGCUGAGGAGCGAAAGCGUGGGGAGCGAACAGG
rnacentral:rRNA from 1 species